UUGCUUCACUAGCACAUCUACUGAUACUGGAAUGAUACAGAGAAGAUUAUCCUUGCCCCUGCACAAGAGUGACAGACUAUCUUUCAGCCUUGCUUCUAUUGAUU
ensembl:snRNA U6 U6 spliceosomal RNA